rnacentral:rRNA from 1 species
GAUGAACGCUGGCGGCGUGCUUAACACAUGCAAGUCGAACGGAAAGGCUCCUGCUUGCAGGGGUACUCGAGUGGCGAACGGGUGAGUAACACGUGGGUGAUCUGCCCUGCACUUCGGGAUAAGCCUGGGAAACUGGGUCUAAUACCGGAUAGGACCACAUUUUGGAUGGUGUGGUGGAGAGUAUUUCGGUGUGGGCUGAGCUCGCGGCCUCUCAGCUUGUUGGUGGGGUAGUGGCCUACCAAGGCGUCGCCGGGUAGCCUGCCUGGGAAGGUGUACGGCCACAUUGGGCCUGCGAUACGGCGCAGACCCCUACGGGAGACAGCAGUGGGGAAUAUUGCACAAUGGGCGCAAGCCUGAUGCAGCGGCGCCGCGUGGGGGAUGACGGCCUUCUGGUUGUAACCUCCUUUCGCUAGAGACGAAGCGCAAGUGACGGUACCUGGAGAAGAAGCACCGGCUAACUACGUG